GUCGAGCGGUAGAGAGAAGCUUGCUUCUCUUGAGAGCGGCGGACGGGUGAGUAAUACCUAGGAAUCUGCCUGAUAGUGGGGGAUAACGUUCGGAAACGGACGCUAAUACCGCAUACGUCCUACGGGAGAAAGCAGGGGACCUUCGGGCCUUGCGCUAUCAGAUGAGCCUAGGUCGGAUUAGCUAGUUGGUGAGGUAAUGGCUCACCAAGGCUACGAUCCGUAACUGGUCUGAGAGGAUGAUCAGUCACACUGGAACUGAGACACGGUCCAGACUCCUACGGGAGGCAGCAGUGGGGAAUAUUGGACAAUGGGCGAAAGCCUGAUCCAGCCAUGCCGCGUGUGUGAAGAAGGUCUUCGGAUUGUAAAGCACUUUAAGUUGGGAGGAAGGGCAGUUACCUAAUACGUGAYUGUCUUGACGUUACCGACAGAAUAAGCACCGGCUAACUCUGUGCCAGCAGCCGCGGUAAUACAGAGGGUGCAAGCGUUAAUCGGAAUUACUGGGCGUAAAGCGCGCGUAGGUGGUUUGUUAAGUUGAAUGUGAAAUCCCCGGGCUCAACCUGGGAACUGCAUCCAAAACUGGCAAGCUAGAGUAUGGUAGAGGGUAGUGGA
rnacentral:rRNA from 1 species